CUGACAGUCAUCUGAAAUAUAGCAUCUCAGCUUGCCCUCCCUGUGCAAUAUGGCUUUUUGGGUUAAAAGGGACAGAUCUACUAGGUACUGCUACCUUUGGGACCGUUUCCUCAGAUAGUCCUAUGGGAAUAUCAUCUAGAGUUACAUCUGUUUAGUGUUUUUAAUCAAACCAUAAUUCCUGCUAGAUAGUCAAGGAUCCAUAGAAUUUCCGUGGCAUUUGAGGCACAGGAAGGUACUCCACAGAGAAGUGAGGAGAAAAAUGAGUCAUGAAGGGACCAGCAUGGGCAGAGGUAACGCAGCUGCUCCAUGGCAUCGCUGAUCUCUACGUGGUACCAGGAAUGCUGACACAAAUCCAAAAGAAAUGUUUAAAAGGCAGCCACAAAGAUACAGGAGAGGAAAAGAUAAGGCCUGGGAG
rnacentral:lncRNA from 1 species